rnacentral:rRNA from 1 species
CCUGAUUGAUCCUGCUAGUUGUCAUAUGCUUGUCUCAAAGAUUAAGCCAUGCAUGUGUAAGUAUGAAGUAAUUUAGAUUGUGAAACUGCGAAUGGCUCAUUAAAUCAGUUAUAGUUUUUUUGAUGGUAUCUGCUACUCGGAUAACCGUAGUAAUUCUAGAGCUAACACAUGCAACAAACCCCUACUUCUGGAAGGGACGCAUUUAUUAGACAAAAGGUUGACGUGGGCUCUGCUCGUUGCUCUGAUGAUUCAUGAUAACUCGACGGAUCGCACGGCCAUCGUGCCGGCGACGCAUCAUUCAAAUUUCUGCCCUAUCAACUUUCGAUGGUAGGAUAGAGGCCUACUAUGGUGGUGACGGGUGACGGAGAAUUAGGGUUCGAUUCCGGAGAGGGAGCUUGAGAAACGGCUACCACAUCCAAGGAAGGCAGUAGGCGCGCAAAUUUCCCAAUCCUGACACGGGGAGGUAGUGGCAAUAAAUAACAAUUCCGGGCUCUUAUGAGUUGGUAAUUGGAAUGAGUACAAUUUAAAUCCCUUAACGAGGAUCCAUUGGUGGGCAAGUAUAGUGCCAGCAGCCACGGUAAUUCCAGCUCCAGUAGCGUAUAUUUAAGUUGUUGCAGUUAAAAAGCUCAUAGUUGGAUCUUGGGUUGGGCAGAUUUGUCUGCCCUUGGUGUGCACCAGUCUGCUCGUCCCUUCUACUGACGAUACGCUCCUGGUCUUAAUUGGCUGGGUCGUGCCUCCGGUGCUAUUACUUUGAAGAAAUUAGAGUGCUCAAAGCAAGCCUACGCUCUGUAUACAUUAGAAUGGGAUAACAUCAUAGGUUUUUGGUCCUAUUCUGUUGGCCUUUGGGAUCGGAGUAAUGAUUAACAGGAACAGUCGGGGGCAUUCGUAUUUCAUAGUCAGAGGUGAAAUUGUUAGAUUUAUGAAAGACGAACAACUGCGAAAGCAUUUGCCAAGGAUGUUUUCAUUAAUCAAGAACAAAAGUUGGGGGCUUGAAGACGAUCAUAUACCGUCCUAGUCUCAACCAUAAACGAUGCCGACUAGAGAUCGGCGGAUGUUCCUUUCAAGACUCCGCCGGUACCUUAUGAGAAAUCAAAAUCUUAAAUUAAAAGAAUCUGAAGAUAUCUUUAAAAAAAUUCUCUAGUAAUGAUUUAAAAAGCAUGAUUGUAUUCAUAAAGAUAUUUCUAACAAGCCUAAGUUAAUUAUUGAUGAUUUGAGUGCUUCUACUUUACAUACUUAUGAUUCUAAAUUAGAUUCUAUUGUUAUUAAGCCUGUGAUAGUAGAUACAACAUGUUUAGAUAAUUCUGAAAGUUUUUGCUUAAUUGACGGUGUGAAGCCUAAGUCCAAGGAUUCAGGAACAUAAGGUAAGUUUGUUCCUACUUGUCAUAAUUGUGGGAAGAUUGGUCAUAUUAGACCAAAUUUUUAUUUGUUGAAAUCCUACAGGCCUUGGAAAAAGCAGG